rnacentral:rRNA from 1 species
AACGAACGCUGGCGGCGUGCCUAACACAUGCAAGUCGUGCGAGAAAGUUCCCUUCGGGGAGCGAGUAAAGCGGCGCACGGGUGAGUAACACGUAGGUAAUCUGCCCCGUAGUCGGGAAUAACCCGGGGAAACUCGGGCUAAUGCCGGAUGAGACCAAGACUGCUUCGGCAGUUGCGGCCAAAGAUGGCCUCUACUUGUAAGCUAUUGCUACGGGAUGAGCCUGCGGCCCAUUAGCUAGUUGGUAGGGUAAUGGCCUACCAAGGCUUUGAUGGGUAGCUGGUCGGGGAGGAGGAUCAGCCACACUGGGACUGGGACACGGCCCAGACUCCUACGGGAGGCAGCAGUGGGGAAUAUUGCGCAAUGGGGGAAACCCUGACGCAGCGACGCCGCGUGGGUGAUGAAGGCCUUCGGGUCGUAAAGCCCUGUCGUAGGGGAAGAACCGGAAGUCGGCUAAUACCCGGCUUCCCUGACGGUACCCUACAAGAAAGCACCGGCUAACUCCGUGCCAGCCGCCGCUGUAACAC